UCUAGUGAUGAUGGCAAAGAGGUCACACCCGUUCCCAUACCGAACACGGAAGUUAAGCUCUUUAGCACCGAUGGUAGUUGGGGGCUUCCCCCUGUGAGAGUAGGACGUCGCUAGGC
rnacentral:rRNA from 1 species